CCUACGGGCGGCAGCAGUGGGGAAUAUUGGACAAUGGGCGAAAGCCUGAUCCAGCCAUGCCGCGUGUGUGAAGAAGGCCUUCGGGUUGUAAAGCACUUUCAGUGGGGAAGAAAGCCUUGGGGCUAAUACCCUCGAGGAAGGACAUCACCCACAGAAGAAGCACCGGCUAACUCCGUGCCAGCAGCCGCGGUAAUACGGAGGGUGCGAGCGUUAAUCGGAAUUACUGGGCGUAAAGCGCGCGUAGGCGGUCUGAUAAGCCGGUUGUGAAAGCCCCGGGCUCAACCUGGGAACGGCAUCCGGAACUGUCAGGCUAGAGUGCAGGAGAGGAAGGUAGAAUUCCAGGUGUAGCGGUGAAAUGCGUAGAGAUCGGGAGGAAUACCAGUGGCGAAGGCGGCCCUCUGGACUGACACUGACGCUGAGGUGCGAAAGCGUGGGUAGCAAACAGGAUUAGAUACCCGGGUAGUC
rnacentral:rRNA from 1 species